ACACACACGGCAAACUGGCCGCGUGUGCCUGGCGUCGACUAUUUCCUUCUUUUUGCACGGCCCGAUCGAUACCGGCGACUUAUUUUGGAUUAUUUUCAGCGGCCAGAGUGUGCGCGCCUUUUCUAAGCAAAGAAAAAAAGAAGAAAAAAUGGAAAUUCUCGCGGACCGGUGCAUGCACCGGGGCUUUCUGGUAAAUUUUGCUGCGACCGGCGUUCUCCAAUGAGCACGACACGAAAAAACGUAUUAGAGCGUGUAACCGGCAAUUUUUGUUGCGGCUCGCCUCGCCGAGGAAAAAAAGAGGUGCAACCGAGUACAGCCUGUUUCAGAAAUGGACGAUGAAACUUGAAGAUCACGUAAUGCCACAUUGUAGUAAGUGGGUGAUUUACCUUCGUGGCUAUUAGAUACGGUACUCCAGAAAAAAUAUGGUCAACGCUUAAUAUUGAUGAUGCGUGUACGGCCUUGAACCUUAUAUUCUAUUAGGGGAUUUUGUUGAGAUGCUUCAUUAAGCAGACAUUCUAUUAAGAAGGUGUUUCAUUGAGCAGAUAUAUUAUAAAGAAGAUAUUUUACUGGGGUACUUUAUUAAAAAGGCAGGGUCUAGUAUUGUAGAGUUUUUCGAAAAUAGAAGACGUGUGGCUGCAUUCAGUAAUCUUUUCAGUGUCAAGUACCGUUUGCACUGUCUUAAAGUCAAGUACAACAAAGAGCUAAAUAUUUCACAUUUCCUCUACUGCAAAUUGAUAUAUUACUGAAAACAUCAUGUUACACUUUGAAAUCAUUUCGAUAUUCUCUUCAAUGCAGUUAAGGACAUGUGUACUUAUUUGUAA